rnacentral:snRNA from 1 species
GGGUGUGAGGGUGAUCCGGCUGCAACGUCACUCCUCCAUUGAUUGUCAGGGUUGAGUCAGCUGAUCUGGCUGGCUACAGGUAGGUGUCCCCUUCCUCCCUCACUGCUCCAAGUGCAUCCCUCCUGAAGCUGUGCCCUCGUUUGAAGAGGAUGACCUUCCCCAAUAGAGGAGGACUAUUCUUCAGUGAAGAGCAUAGGAGUACAUAGUCUAAAAUAAAUAUAAAUACAUAGUCUAAAAUAAAUAUAAACAGCAAGUAAUAAGUCAUUAGCAAAAAACAAAGUGAGAAAUUCACAUU